rnacentral:rRNA from 1 species
UACAGAGGGGGCAAGCGUUGUUCGGAAUUGCUGGGCGUAAAGGGCGCGUAGGCGGCCCGCUAAGUCGAACGUGAAAUCCCCGAGCUCAACUCGGGAACUGCGUCCGAUACUGGCGGGCUUGAAUCCGGGAGAGGGAUGCGGAAUUCCAGGUGUAGCGGUGAAAUGCGUAGAUAUCGAGAGGAACACCUGCGGCGAAGGCGGGUGCUGGGCUGACACUGACGCUGAGGCGCGAAAGCUAGGGGAGCGAACGGG